CCUACGGGAGGCAGCAGUGGGGAAUCUUGCGCAAUGGGCGAAAGCCUGACGCAGCAACGCCGCGUGCGGGAAGAAGGCUUUCGGGCUGUAAACCGCUUUCAGCAGGGACGAAAAUGACGGUACCUGCAGAAGAAGGAGCGGCCAACUAUGUGCCAGCAGCCGCGGUGAUACAUAGGCUUCAAGCGUUGUCCGGAUUUAUUGGGCGUAAAGAGUUCGUAGGCGGUCAAGUAAGUCGGGUGUGAAAAUUCUGGGCUCAACCCAGAGACGCCACCCGAUACUGCUUAACUUGAGUUCGAUAGGGGAGUGGGGAAUUCCUAGUGUAGCGGUGAAAUGCGCAGAUAUUAGGAGGAACACCGGUGGCGAAGGCGCCACUCUGGAUCGAUACUGACGCUGAGGAACGAAAGCAUGGGUAGCAAACAGGAUUAGAUACCCUGGUAGUCCAUGCCGUAAACGGUGGGCACUAGGUGUGGGUUUCUAUUAACGAAAUCCGCGCCGUCGCUAACGCAUUAAGUGCCCCGCCUGGGGAGUACGGUCGCAAGCUAAAACUCAAAUGAAUUGACGG
rnacentral:rRNA from 1 species